UAGGGAAUCUUCCGCAAUGGGCGAAAGCCUGACGGAGCAACGCCGCGUGAGUGAUGAAGGUCUUCGGAUCGUAAAACUCUGUUAUUAGGGAAGAACAAACGUGUAAGUAACUGUGCACGUCUUGACGGUACCUAAUCAGAAAGCCACGGCUAACUACGUGCCAGCAGCCGCGGUAAUACGUAGGUGGCAAGCGUUAUCCGGAAUUAUUGGGCGUAAAGCGCGCGUAGGCGGUUUUUUAAGUCUGAUGUGAAAGCCCACGGCUCAACCGUGGAGGGUCAUUGGAAACUGGAAAACUUGAGUGCAGAAGAGGAAAGUGGAAUUCCAUGUGUAGCGGUGAAAUGCGCAGAGAUAUGGAGGAACACCAGUGGCGAAGGCGACUUUCUGGUCUGUAACUGACGCUGAUGUGCGAAAGCGUGGGGAUCAAACAGGAUUAGAUACCCCCGUAGUCC
rnacentral:rRNA from 1 species